CUGACCUGGUCCUAAUUGUACUAAUCAAUGAAUCCACAAUCAUCUUUGUUUAAUUGGCCAUUGAAAAGAUAUCAAAGAAAGUGAGCCAUAUAGAGAGGGAAAGAAAUGGCAUCAAGAAAUUGUUAUAGCAAAGAUGUGAUUCCAUUUACUGCAAUGGUUGCAAUGGAGUUCACAAACGUUGGUGUCAAUGUUCUAUUCAAAGCAGCUACUCAAAAUGGCUUGAGUUUCUAUGUCUUCACUGCUUAUUCUUAUGUUGUCUCCUCUCUUUUUCUCCUUUUACCUCUACCCUUCUUCUUCAAGUGGUCAAGAGAGCUUCCUCCUUUAAACAUGUCUCUAAUCUUCAGAACUUUUUUCCUUGGAGUUUUAGGGCAGAGUUGUAGCUUUGCUAUUUGGAUAUAAAGGACUUGAAUACACUACACCAACUCUUGCUUCUGCUCUUAGCAAUGUUAUACCCGCAUUUACAUUUAUCCUAGCUAUCUUUUUCAGGAUGGAGAAGGUAAAUUUACAAAGCAAAAGCAGUCAGGCCAAAAUAUUGGGUUUUACCAUAUCAAUAUUAGGUGCACUCAUAGCUGUACUUUAUAAAGGUCCAAUGAUUAUAUCUUCACCAUCAACUAAACCACCACAUACUAUUCAUUCUCCAAUAAGACCAACAUCACAAUCACAUUGGAUUCUUGGUGGAUCUCUACUUAUUAUUGAGUAUCUCAUUGUUCCACUGUGGUACAUUCUUCAGGUAUAUACAGUUAAAUUGUGAGUUUUUAAUUUUCACAUAAACUACUAGCAAAAUUUUGUUUCUUGCAAACAGACAAACAUCAUAAAAGAAUAUCCAUCGGUGGUUAUUUCUGUCUUUUUAUACAACCUAUGUGGAACACUAGUGUCAAUACCAAUGUGUUUUCUACUAGACUAAGUUGUCUUGUUCAUGCAUGGGGACUCCAUAUUAAAGGCCCUCUAUAUAUAUCAAUGUUUAAGCCUUUGUCAAUAGUUAUUGCUGCAUUUUUUAGUGUUAUGUUCCUUGGUGAAGCAUUAUACUUUGGAACGUAAGAGUU